GAUUUUAGCGGCGGACGGGUGAGUAACACGUGGGCAACCUACCUUGUAGAUUGGGAUAACUCCGGGAAACCGGGGCUAAUACCGAAUAAUCCAUUUUGCUUCAUGGCGAAAUGUUAAAAGGCGGCUUCGGCUGUCACUGCAAGAUGGGCCCGCGGCGCAUUAGCUAGUUGGUAAGGUAAUGGCUUACCAAGGCGACGAUGCGUAGCCGACCUGAGAGGGUGAUCGGCCACACUGGGACUGAGACACGGCCCAGACUCCUACGGGAGGCAGCAGUAGGGAAUCUUCCACAAUGGACGAAAGUCUGAUGGAGCAACGCCGCGUGAGUGAAGAAGGUUUUCGGAUCGUAAAACUCUGUUGUAAGGGAAGAACACGUACGAGAGUAACUGCUCGUACCUUGACGGUACCUUAUUAGAAAGCCACGGCUAACUACGUGCCAGCAGCCGCGGUAAUACGUAGGUGGCAAGCGUUGUCCGGAAUUAUUGGGCGUAAAGCGCGCGCAGGCGGUCCUUUAAGUCUGAUGUGAAAGCCCACGGCUCAACCGUGG
rnacentral:rRNA from 1 species